ensembl:lncRNA
GGGGCUUAUGGUGUCCAGUUCUCGCUCUCUGAUAGGACAGAGGCCCGCGUGUCCAUCUCCGCCCAUGAGAGCACAGGUAAGUGUUGAUUUAGGAGACAUGGAUUAAAUGUUGAACAUGUCACUGUUCUAGUUGGCUUUGAUAAUGUGGAAGAGCCCUAACACUCAUAAGACCUCCUGAAGACUUACAUGUUGUUCAACUAUAUAGAGCUUUUUAUCGUAAGCAAACAGCCCAGCUUUGACUUAGGACAUUUCAGUUAGAGUGGAAGCCUUGGGACAUUUAGUUAGAGUGGAAGCCUUGGGACAUUUAGUUAGAGUGGAAGCCUUGGGACAUUUAGUUAGAGUGGAAGCCUUGGGACAUUUAGUUAGAGUGGAAGACUUGGGGCAUUUAGUUAGAGUGGAAGCCUUGGGGCAUUUAGUUAAAGUGGAAGCCUUGGGACAUUUAGUUAGAGUGGAAGCCUUGGGACAUUUAGUUAGAGUGGAAGCCUUGGGACAUUUAGUUAGAGUGGAAGCCUUGGGACAUUUAGUUCGAGUGGAAGCCUUGGGACAUUUAGUUCGAGUGGAAGCCUUGGGACAUUUAGUUCGAGUGGAAGCCUUGGGACAUUUAGUUCGAGUGGAAGCCUUGGGACAUUUAGUUCGAGUGGAAGCCUUGGGACAUUUAGUUAGAGUGGAAGCCUUGGGACAUUUAGUUAAAGUGGAAGCCUUGGGACAUUUAGUUCGAGUGGAAGCCUUGGGACAUUUAGUUCGAGUGGAAGCCUUGGGACAUUUAGUUCGAGUGGAAGCCUUGGGACAUUUAGUUCGAGUGGAAGCCUUGGGACAUUUAGUUUGAGUGGAAGCCUUGGGACAUUUAGUUCCCUUGGGACAUUUAGUUCGAGUGGAAGCCUUGGGACAUUUAGUUCGAGUGGAAGCCUUGGGACAUUUAGUUCGAGUGGAAGCCUUGGGACAUUUAGUUCGAGUGGAAGCCUUGGGACAUUUAGUUCGAGUGGAAGCCUUGGGACAUUUAGUUAAAGUGGAAGCCUUGGGGCAUUUAGUUAAAGUGGAAGCCUUGGGACAUUUAGUUAGAGUGGAAGCCUUGGGGCAUUUAGUUAAAGUGGAAGCCUUGCCACAGUAGAAAAACGGUCUUGUAUCCUGUUUUGAACAUCCCUUGUCUGUCACAUAAAUUGUACACUCCAUUGUUUGUGUCCCCAGUGUGUUAUCUGUGUAUUGAGCCAUGUCUCUGUUUCUAGACCCUCCUUGCCCCCCCCAGCCAAACAAGCCAACAAGAAGCUGAUGAUGAGGGCUAUUUCUGAGGCCCAGGUCUCCAUUAACAAGACUACAGCCUUCCCAGCUGAUGCCUUCGCUGUCUCACUGUCAAUCAGCCUGAAUGAAGAAUGAAUCUUACCUAUUGGACAUGUGUUGUCCUGUUUAUUAUCAUGACACCUGGGUCGUAUUCAUUAGGCACCAAAUGGAUCAAAACGGACUGAAAUGGUGAGGGACUACCACUACCUGAACGUUUUAACUAAAAACCUUUUGUUUUUUGUUUGCAAUUUAUUUAUUUUUACUAUGUUGUGCACUAAUGAGUAUGAUCCUGUUGCCUUCAUGUCUUCCCCUAGUACCACAGAGACAAACGGUUCCCAUGGCUCCCAGGACCCGUUCAGCCAGCGAUGAGAUGAAAGCAGCCAUCGAGCUGGUUCAGGAGCACCUCCGCAGCCCCCAGGGGACAGACUUACCCCCCUCAGUCUCAGGCCCCCAGGCAGCUAGGUACAGUGCAUUCGGAAAGUAUUCAGACCCCUUGACUUCUUCUACAUUUUGUUACGUUACAGCUUUAUUCUAAAAUUGAUCAAAUUGUUUUUUCCCCCCCUUCAAUCUACACACAAUACCUCAUAAUGACAAAGCAAAAAAAAGGAUGAUAAUUUGCUAAAAUGUCAUUGUUUUUGCUUUGAUUAUUGUGUGUAGAUACAUAUUUAUUUUAUCAAUUUUAGAAUAAGGCUGUAAUUAGGGAUGCACGAUCUAUCGGUAAGCAUAUCGGAAUCGGCCGACAUUAGCUAAAAAUGCCAACAUCGGCCCGAUGUCUAGUUCAAUGGCUGAGAUCCCGUUAACGGGAUCGAUAUGACAACAGCCAGUGAAAGUGCAGAGCUCCAAAUUUAAAAAACAACAGAAAUCUCAUCAUUAAAAUUCCUCAAACAUACACAAGUAUUUCCCACCAUUUUAAAGAUGCACUUCUUGUUAAUCCCACCACAGUGUCCGAUUUCAAAUAGGCUUUACAGCGAAAGCACCACAAACGAUUAUGUUAGGUGAGUGCCUAUUCACAGAAAAACACAGCCAUUUUUGGGGGGGAGGCUGUAACCCUUUUUUUAAAUCCAGGGGUGUGAAUAUUUUCUGAAGGCCC